CUGAGGAAAGAGGUGCAUACCCUUGAGCGUGGCAAGCUGAUGUAAGAGACGGUUCUUCUCAAGAUCGGGACGUCUUCAUGGCCAUUGUCACGAGUUCCGACCCAAAUGCUAUUCUUGACCGCUGCAGACUUUUCUAUCGUCAGUCUCGUUCGUCUGGCGGAAUGCAGAGGAGUUAACUUUGAGAAAUUAACAUCGUCUGUGGCAGCAGGUAUGUGUUGGCCCUUAGGUAGCCCUUAGGUAGCCCUUAGUAAGCUCAUAGUUUACUUGAAGUUCAAGUUUUGUUAUUGUCAUAGAUCGGUAACCUUUUGCUUUUGUCACAUUUAUAAUGAAUAACUUUAAUAUCAUAACCAAGGUUUACUGUGAUCUAAUGGACAGUGUUACUUGCCAAAUUUAAUGCUCAGGUGUAACUUUUCGUGUUAUAAUUACCUGAAUAAAAUUUUAUUAAACAACUAGU